GGAACACUCAUUUCUAGAUCAGCGUGGCAGGCAGUGACAUCCAAUACCUGAAAUAUGGAACUCGUAUAUAUAAAAAAUGUUUACUAGUAUGGAUAGAUUUUUUUAGUGAAGGAAAGAGAUGGUUAUUUCCCUUGAAGAAAAAGCUCCAAAUGCUGUGUUACCUGGAUAGGAAUUUCUCAUGACAGUUAACCCGAUCAACAAGUGGGAAGCGGUCUCUGAAGAUACAGCUAGGUAACUUGGCCAUCAAAACUAUUGUAUGGCUGUCAGAAGCUGGCUGGUAAUAGUGUCAGAACAUGCAGGUGGCAGCCCCUGAUUGGGGGCAAUGAACAGUGGUGUGGUAGUGGAAAGGCGGUGUGUCUGUCAUUGCACCCAGGACUGGAGCUCUUGGGUGGGAGUUAUAGGUGCUGUUGAUGGUUCAAGAACAGUUUAUGGAGAACCACCUUGUGCUGCAUCACCCUCCCUUGAAAUUUCUUGAAAUAGCGCUUUAUAUGUCUAUCUAGCUUUCUUCUGGCCUGAAGUGGUGACUGCCUUCUGCUGGUGUUCUAAGAUUAAGUAUGGUUUAGCUCUGAAAACUCGAUGCUUUCUGCCAUAGGCCGGUGCUGGCAGCACAACUCCCGGUAUGAGGGCCAAGGGCCACAUCCAACAUCCCUUCUCUUAAGGAAAAAAGUAUACACCCUCAAGACUUCAUUCUGAGAAAGAUGCUCUGGACCAAUAUGAACGACUAAGUCAAUAAUGUGGCAAGAGCUGUUUCAGAGACUGCAGAAAGCCUGACAGCAGAUCAGCUCCCAGCAAUGCUGUGAGUUACUAAGAAAAUCAGGGCUACUCCUGCUGCAUUUACAGCUAACUGGACCAAAUCAAGAGCUGGCCUAAAAGUUGAGAUGCUGAGCAUGAGGGAAUUACUGCUGUCUGUGCCACUUCUGAUUUUUAUCCAGGGAAUGGUUUAAUGAGAAAACUGAAAGAAGACUUUGUGUGCAUUAGCAGUAGUGUAGAAUAAAUCCAUGGUUUAGGCCAGGCUGCUCACCAGAAGGUGACAUUUAUAUAACAAUCUUCCAGUAGGUGUGUUAUGUUUUACUAGAAGCCAGUUCAAAUAAAGCUUAUGUAAUUCAUAAUGGCCUAUUCCACAACACUUGCUAGGUUGAAAAGAGCCAACUAAUAAAGACAUAUUAACUUACAAAAUCACUUAGGGGGCUAAUAACCCUUCUUUUGAGCGUAUGGGUCUGGCUUUAAUAAACUUCAAAUCUGCUUUAUGUUCUUUUAAACAGGAAGGAUCUGAUACUGAGGAAGGCUGAGCACUCAGAAUUUCAGCUAAAAUCGAUGGCGUGCAUUCAACACCUUGGAAAACCAACUCCUAAAUCAAUGUCAAUUAAUUCUGAAGUUGAACUGGUUGAGUUGAGGAGACUUGGAAAACUCAGGGGAUUCUUAACUGGGCAUAUGGAAACUCUUAAGUCUAGUUAUGAGUGAUAGCCACCUUGCUAUCACCUCCAGGAGGCUGGCUGAAGAAUAGGUUCAAGUGGUGUGUGUCUGCUUCUCACUAGCCCCCACCCCUCAACUGGAAAUUUGUAAAGUAUGUUUAGCCAAAAAUCCAACUUUCUGCUGAAAUAAAAAAAGGGGGGGUGGGAGCAGCGACAUCAUUUGACAAUUUGUGAUAGUAAUUCCCAAGAGCAAGCCACUUAAUACCAAAAGUAAACGGCAGUGGUGGAAUUUCCACUUAAUGGAUGUCCACUUAAUGGAAAAAAAGUGUUUAACGGUUGGCACUGUGUCAUGUUCUUACACAGAAAACAUUUAAGACUAAGGGAUGAAUGGGCUAGAGACUCAGGAGUCCUCUUUCCCAGAACUGCUCCUUUGCAGAUGGGGCUGAGAUGUGUUUGUGAACUGGGAGGUUUUGUUUGCUCAGUGCCAAACCUGCCCUUAUAGCUUCUGCCAGCUUCAGCCCAUGUCUGCGUGCUGGUUUCCUCCUCGCUUAGAUGUGCGCUCACAAACAUGCACGUGUACCCAUGCAGGAACAGUGGUUGGCAUCCUGGGCACCUAAUCAAUCUUUCUGGUGUCUCAAGAACUGUAUGAAGCUCCAGGGACAGUCGCUGGCUACUCCCACAUUAAAGCGUGGUUUCUUCAAGAUGCCUUUAUCUGAGGAGUGUUGCUUGUUUUAGUCCUAAAGUUUCCACACCUCUCUGUGUGUGAGCCGGCACAGGCAGGACACAGAAACAACCACAAAACCAUGUAUGAAAAACUUAUCAAAGAGUAAAUUUAUUUUCAUUACCUCACCAACUAGGGAGCCUCAAAGGAGCACCCAGCAGAGGCACGCAAGCAUGGACGCAGGCACCAUGGAGCUCGGUCCGUGCUAGAGGAUCACUGAACCUGCUGGUUUCACCUAUAUUUCAGGGCAGGCAUAGUUUACCACUGUGCGUUGAUUUUUCCUACAGCAGGGCAGGAAUCUCAAGCUGCUUCUAUCACAGGCUUAUGUUACCGAAACACAGAUGUUCUACCUGUCCGACAGACAAGGCUAAACAACAAUUAGUAUGAUAUAUGUGCUCUUCUACACAGGUGUGGGUCACUUGAGUGUAUUUAUAAUCCUCCUUGCCAAUCUUCCUUUUUCCCCCACACCCUCAUUAACUUUAUUGUUGCUUUAGAUGUAUCACUGAAACAGUAUGUUGGCAAUGAGGAGUUGUGAGGGAGUGUGGAGAGAUUUGUUUAUACUGAUCAUGCAAAUCCUGCAUCAUUUUCCAUUUCUGGCUUAGAUAACCCAUGAUCUUCCUCCUGAGUCUCUGGCACCUCUGGGGCCUUGGCAGACCAGAAGGACCAGAAGGACCUGGAUGGGUGCUAUCAAACCCAUCCAUCACCUGUCCUAAAAUGAUGGAAGGAGUGGAAAAAUUUGCUCUUUGCUCUGGCGCCAGGCCAGCACUUGUCGGUCUACAUCCAUUUCAUUACAGGCUUCCAAAGUCAACCCUAAGCAUGGAGUAGCUGCCAUUUCAAAAGUCAAGCUGCCAGAUAUUUUCUAUCUUCAUCUCUGCUGUAGCAUGGUGUUUUCUUCAGCUCUCACAGUGGCAGCAUCAAACUGCCUGUGGCUGGGUGUUAUCUAAAGGGCUGGAGCUGCUGGGGUGGCUCAGGCAGCCUUUCCUUAGGCACCUCUUCUGGAAGCACAGCGUUCACCAGGGCAUGAGCCUGGUGAGCAGCCACAGCAGAUGGGAUAGAGAGGCCUGGCAGAACUUGG